UAGGGCCUCAUAGAUAAUACAAUGGGAAGCAACAGCGAGAAGCAAUACCGUGAGGUGGAGCAAAUCUUCAAACCUUCCCCUAGUUCGGAUUGUACUCUGGAACUCGAGUACAUGAAGUUGGAAUUGCUAGUAAUGGCAGGUCAGCCAUACUGCCGUGAAUACGUCCCUGUUCCUUGCACUCACCGCCCGUCAAACCAUGGGAGCUGAGGUUCUUUGAAGACUUACUAUGUGGGUUAAGGAGAAAAUCAGUGACUGGGGUUAAGUCGUAACAAGGCAUCCCUACGAGAACGUGGGGAUAGACUACCACUCUA
rnacentral:rRNA from 1 species